CCUACGGGCGGCACCAGUGGGGAAUCUUCCGCAAUGGGCGAAAGCCUGACGGAGCAAUGCCGCGUGAGUGAAGAAGGCCUUCGGGUUGUAAAAUUCUGUCCUUAUGGAAGAAAGUGAUAUAGUUUAAGAGAUUAUAUUGCUGACGGUACAUUUGGAGGAAGCCCCGGCUAACUACGUGCCAGCAGCCGCGGUAACACGUAGGGGGCGAGCGUUGUCCGGAAUUACUGGGCGUAAAGCGCGCGCAGGCGGGCAUUUAAGUCAGAUGUGAAAGCUCUGGGCUCAACCGAGAGAUUGCAUCUGAAACUGGAUGCCUUGAGUAUAGGAGAGGAGAGUGGAAUUCCUAGUGUAGCGGUGAAAUGCGUAGAUAUUAGGAGGAACACCAGUGGCGAAGGCGACUCUCUGGCCUAUUACUGACGCUGAGGCGCGAAAGCGUGGGUAGCAAACAGGAUUAGAUACCCUAGUAGUC
rnacentral:rRNA from 1 species